UUCUCUCUGAUAUAUGCAUGCUGACAUAGUGCAGUUUUAUGGUAUUAUUGUGUUGGACAUCAACAACUUUAUAAUAAAAUCAAGUUUAAAUACCUGUGCAUAAAUAAAUUGAGAUAUAAAUAGAAAUAUUAAACCAAUAUAAAAAUAUGUUAAAUCGUACAAGAAAGAAGGAAUAUUAUUAUGACAAAUUUCAUCGAGGUUUUGUCAAUGUAUGCAUGGCAGUAACAGUAAUGACUGGAGCAAUGGUAUUAUAUUCAGCUGCUACAUAUUUUCUGUAUACUGUACCUGAAAGGAAAUUAAAGAUUAAAGAAAAGGAAAGAGAGCUUUUAAGUGAAGGAAUGGAUUUGGAAAAUAUUCCAACUACAUAAUAUUAUGACAAAAUAUUAUUUAAACGUAGACAAUCAUGCAAAAAGAAAGAAAAAAAAGUUUGUUUUGUAGUUUAGGCACCGUCCAUCCUAAAAUCAAUUUUUUCUUAGGGAGAUAUGAUGACACACAAAAGUAGGAUAAUAUAAUUAAUUAUAUAUUUGUUAUUGUUGAAAAUAUAUCUGUGAAAAUGAAAAUCAUUUACAAAUUUUGUAGAUCAGCGUUUUACCAUAAUUUUGG